GAGGAGAGAACACAGGGAAUUGCCUCAGUAACGGCGAGUGAAGCGGCAACAGCUCAAAUUUGAAAUCUGGCCCUUCCAGGGUCCGAGUUGUAAUUUGUAGAGGAAGCUUCGGGUACGGCUCCGGUCUAAGUUCCUUGGAACAGGGCGUCAUAGAGGGUGAGAAUCCCGUAUGUGACUGGUCGCCACGCCCGUGUGAAGCUCCUUCGACGAGUCGAGUUGUUUGGGAAUGCAGCUCAAAACGGGUGGUAAAUUUCAUCUAAAGCUAAAUACCGGCCAGAGACCGAUAGCGCACCAAGUAGAGUGAUCGAAAGAUGAAAAGCACUUUGGAAAGAGAGUUAAAAAGUACGUGAAAUUGUUGAAAGGGAAGCGCUUGCCACCAGACUUGCCCGCGGGUGAUCAACCGGUAUUCUUACCGGCGCACUCGCCCGCGGUCAGGCCAGCACCGGUUCGGGCGGUCGGAUAAACGCCCCUGGAACGUAGCUCCUCUCGGGGAGCGUUAUAGCCUGGGGUACAGUGCGGCCUGCCUGGACCGAGGACCGCGCUUCGGCUAGGGUGCUGGCGUAAUGGUUGUAAGCGACCCGUCUUGAAACACGGACCAAGGAGUCUAACAUCUAUGCGAGUGUUUGGGUGUCAAACCCACGCGCGUAAUGAAAGUGAACGGAGGUGGGAACCCUCCAGGGUGCACCAUCGACCGAUCCUGAUGUCUUCGGAUGGAUUUGAGUAAGAGCAUAGCUGUUGGGACCCGAAAGAUGGUGAACUAUGCCUGAAUAGGGUGAAGCCAGAGGAAACUCUGGUGGAGGCUCGCAGCGGUUCUGACGUGCAAAUCGAUCGUCAAAUUUGGGUAUAGGGGCGAAAGACUAAUCGAACCAUUGUUGGCAGCACGUGAAAGAUUGGUCCAGUUUGUAGAGUAUACAUUCGAAAAGUCUUUCUCCGCAGCUAGGUGGUUAAUCAGAAUACGCGUAUUCUUAGUCCGAAAGGGCAACAUUCGCUACUUGCGUGAAUAUUUCUCUGGAAAUAAACACGCAGCAGCUUCACAGGCUGUACACAGACCAAACAGCGGUGGCCGAUUGUUUUCUCCAGUGAAGGAAAUGAAAAGUCGGUUCAGAUAUGGCCGAGCCCACCUCAGUGAUGAGAUGGCUCCACGACUUGUGUUGGAUGAUACCUCGAGGUCAGCUGUCUGAGCCCCGUAUCG
rnacentral:rRNA from 1 species